ensembl:lncRNA
AGGGAGGCCUGCUGUGCUGUAAUCCAUGGGGUCACAAAGAGUCGGAUGCAACUUAGCAACUGAACAACGAGGGUCAUUGUAAAAUAGCCAGUGAAAGUGAAGUCAUAAUGAAGUAUAAUGGUCCCCAAAUCCAAUACAACUGGUGUCCCUGACAUUUGGACACACGCAAAAGCUCAGGGGGAACAUCCUUUGAAGAUGAAGGCAGGUAUCAGUGGGAUGUGUCUGCAAGGCAAGGAACACCAGAGAUUCCCAGCCAGCUCUCAGCAGCUAGGGGGAAGUCUGGCUUGGGUUUUUCCCUCAUAGCCCUCAGAAGGAGCAAACCCAGCCUCAACCUUGGGCUUCUAACUUCCAGAACGUUAUUGAAAGAAAAAAAAAGAGAGAGAGAUGCUGACCUCAAGAAGAAUGAUAGCAAUUAUUGUAAAGGUCAAGUCUGUCCUUGGAGGGUGAGAGGACAUUGAAGACACAAAUGUCAGCAAAAUUGACAGGAGGUAGAACAACAAGAAAAAUCACAAGGUAGC